UACGUAGGGCGCAAGCGUUGUCCGGAAUUAUUGGGCGUAAAGAGCUCGUAGGCGGCUUGUCACGUCGGGUGUGAAAGCCCGGGGCUCAACUCCGGAUCUGCGGUGGGUACGGGCAGACUAGAGUGAUGUAGGGGAGACUGGAAUUCCUGGUGUAGCGGUGAAAUGCGCAGAUAUCAGGAGGAACACCGAUGGCGAAGGCAGGUCUCUGGGCAUUAACUGACGCUGAGGAGCGAAAGCAUGGGGAGCGAACAGG
rnacentral:rRNA from 1 species